CGGGGGUGCCGUAGCGAUUUUCUCCACACGAAGCUGUAACAUUCCCUUUAUUCUGUAACAUAUAUAGGGCAGAGCACCAGAUGCCUCGUAUCAUGGGUUUGGUUGCUAGGUAAGUAAGAAUACCAAUCGCAGCACGAGGAGGAGAUCACGGAUACAGGCCAGCGCAGGUACUUGAAAAAGGAGUUACUGAAUUGGAACGAAUAUGUCGCCUGCUGAACUUGUCGAUCAGCUGAUUACUUAUAACAUUCAGGCAAAAGCAGGAAUCCCGAAGGUAGCUUCUUUCAGGUGUACCUAUAGGAUACACAUUGGUCACUGUGGAAAAUUCGCAUUUACGAUAACAGGAUAUAAAAAUGGCGAUUUUAAUGUUAACGCGGAAAAGAAUUCACGACAAAAUAAAUACCAUGAAAAUAUUAAAAAGGCAAAAUCGUUAACGCAGAAGUGUCGAUUUUAUGAUUCUAUGAUACUAUGCGCUAUAAAUUAUUGAUGCACCAGGAUGCCUGAUGUUUGAUUCACGCUGGAUUUUGUUCUCCAGAGAUGCACAACGUGAUAAAUGCAGCAAUUUUCUCCAAUGGGCAGCUUUGAAGAACAUGGCAAUUUCAAGCUGCUGGAUGUUAUUUAGUGUAAUAAGAAAUAAAACGAUCCUAUUUCUGAAAUAACAGUGUCUAUCAUCAGUUGAACUACACUGAAAAGGUAAUUGUUUCCUGAUGAUAGAUCCAUUACAGCCGAUCCUGGCCUAAAAUCAUCCAAUGCACCGUGAAAAUGAAGGACGAAAUCGGUGUUUGCACCUUAAUCACCAGAGUAAGUUUGUGCCUAGACCAAUAGCUGUUUUCCGCACUCAAUCGAGCCAGCCUCUGGCCCUAGUCAUUGAAUUCUCAGUUGCAAAGGCUACAUCACCUCAUUUUAGAUAGUUUUAGUUCCUCCCUACCAACAAUUACAAUCAGAGGGAAACAGUUGAAUUCAGCACUCGGGGACAUUGUAAUUACCUGUUUUAAGAGGACUUAAAAUUGUAGCUAAAUUGUGUGUGUGAUUUAUAAAAAUCAUUUUCGAUGUCGUUUCUCUUUCUAUGAAAUAUUUCUGAGUGUUAAUAUUGGCGUACGACGAUGAAAAAUGCGACAAUGCGUUCAAUAGUUUUAAAACAAUGCAUUUACGCAAGGCAGAACAUCACAGGUUCAAAGUAUGUUAGUCUUAUUAUUAUUUUGACUUGCUGCUGAAGAUCGAUUAUACAUAACAGUGUUGGUCGCGGGUCCAUGGGAAAUAUCGUCAACAGUCCCACAUGGGGACACACAACUUGUUUACAGUACUGUUAGUCACUGGUUUGUUAUACCUGUCGAUCCGGAAUAAUCCAUCAUCACUAGACGAUGUAGAUUAUAAUGUGUUAAUGAUUAACAUCGUUCCAAUGUAAGCAUCAUUAUAUGCGUGAAAAGAAAUGCGAAGGUUUCUGAAAUAACCAAUUAGUAUGUUUUCAUUUAGUUAUUAUCGCUCAUGCUCACAACCUAAUUGUACAAAGACGAGUGGAAGCAAUAUUCCACCACUGGCAUUUCUAUUCUGAUGGGAAGUUAAACAUUUAUCGGGGAAAAAUACAUCCAGUCAAAAAAAUAAUGUAAUAGACAAGGGACGUUUAGAAAGCGAAGCGGCGUCGUGGUAUAGUUUUCAAAAGUGCUCAUUUAUUAGGAGUUUACAAAAGGGAAUCUAAUGCAGGAAAGGCCAAAGGCACUCAGACAGUGGCUGUACCAUACAAUGUAUCCUAUUAACUCAGGUUGUAACUCUUAAAAGAUGGUGGCAGCCGAUGAUUCCGUGUAAGCGCCGUUUUAGCUCUGACAUUAUUUAUAGAGCUGACUAAUAGCGCUAACAGUGGAAACCAGGGCUAAUUAAGCAUCCUCUCGGAUGCUCGCACCAUUUGACCUGUGUUGCUAUCGCUGUCCUGGAGUGUAAAUGGGAAAAGAGAGGACGGGGGUUAACUAACUGAACCGAUCUACAUAAGAAGCUUUGUUUAUAGUUUAUUAAACAUACAGCUUGAAUAGACUAAUCACCUGCAUGUUACAUAUGUUUGACUACCAAUCUGUCAUUAUGAACAACGCUUUCACUUUUAUGUUUUGGGAGAUUCAGAACGCUACAAGAGUUCUAACGCGAAAAACCCAUUCCUCAGUUUGGCAGCUGUUACAGCGGAAACAGUGAGAAAGUAGCAAAUGUU